GACGAACGCUGGCGGCGUGCUUAACACAUGCAAGUCGAACGGAAAGGCCCUGCUUUUGUGGGGUGCUCGAGUGGCGAACGGGUGAGUAACACGUGAGUAACCUGCCCUUGACUUUGGGAUAACUUCAGGAAACUGGGGCUAAUACCGGAUAGGAGCUCCUGCUGCAUGGUGGGGGUUGGAAAGUUUCGGCGGUUGGGGAUGGACUCGCGGCUUAUCAGCUUGUUGGUGGGGUAGUUGCUUACCAAGGCUUUGACGGGUAGCCGGCCUGAGAGGGUGACCGGACACAUUGGGACUGAGAGACGGCCCAGACUGCUACGGGAGGCAGCAGUGGGGGAUAUUGCACAAUGGGAGGAAGCCUGAUGCAGCAACGCCGCGUGCGGGAUGACGGCCUUCGGGUUGUAAACCGCUUUCGCCUGUGACGAAGCGUGAGUGACGGUAAUGGGUAAAGAAGCACCGGCUAACUACGUG
rnacentral:rRNA from 1 species